rnacentral:misc_RNA from 1 species
ACAGUUGUCCACCUUGACAAAAAGCUUUGCCUCUGGGGCCUCGGCCCCUCUGGCUCAGUUUUCAACCAUUUGUGAACGAACCAUUUCUUCGCUUCGGCAGCCAGCAGUGGGGGCCCUGCCCUCCCUGCCUUAAGCCUGCCGGCAGCAUCCAUUUAAACCUGCCUCUUGAGAUUUUGUCUGAUUCCAUUCUUAAUCUUGAAUGUAAAAUUA